AGGAACUGGUAGAAGUUCUUUGAUAUUAUGAAGUAUGUCUAAAAUAUCACUGCCACCCUGAAAAUUGCCAAACAAUUGUACAAAAGAAAGCUAGAGGGAACUAUGGACCAAACACGCAUGACCUCAGGGGAUUGGAAGGGAAUGGAAGAGCAUUUGCCAAUUUGGAACAACAGCAGCGUGUCUCUAAAGGGACUAUGUCAGAAAGACCCAGAAUUGCAUUUCCAUUUCCAAGAACCCAUCCUCAGCACUAACUAAAUAGGAAUUUCUGAGAUACACAUUUUGUUUAUCCAUUCCCCUAAUGCAAAGAACUCUUCAAUGAAUGUCCUUUACACUUUUCUUAUCUGCAAGUAUGAGAGUUUCUCCAGGAGAAUGAUCUUUGUGUUAGUUUGCUAGGGCGCCACAACAAAUUAUCAAAAACUGGGUGGCUUAGAACAACAAAAAUUUAUUGUUUUACAGUUCUGGAAGCAGAAGUCCAAGAUCAAGAUGUUGGCAGGGUUGCUUCCUUCUGAGGAUUGUGGGAGUAAGAUCUGGCCCAAGCCUCUCUACUUGGCCUGUAGGUGGCCAUCUUCUCCAUGUGUCUCUUCUUAUGGAUAGAGAUUGAAUUUUAAAAAUGUCUUAUUUCCUGGAAGGCAGUAAAUGUUAAACACUUUCUUCUGGAUUGAGUUAUUGUAAUUGUUACCCAAUCGAUCAAGACACCAAAUCAUAAAACUACAAUUAAUUUGUAGUUUAUUAAACAGAAAAAGUAAAGUUCUAUAGAAAAUUCUUCUCUUAAUUAUAGAAAUGGUACUUCUCUCCCUAAGUUAGUUCAUGUAUCCACUGAUGAAAUCUGUAUUGUUCCAGCAUUCAUCAAUGCUGGAACAAUACAGAUUUCUGUACUCAUUUUUGUCCCUCCCUCACUUUUAUAGAAGUAACUGCUGAGAAAAUAUAUUCAUGAUAAUAAAUAAAUGGGAGCAAAUGGCAUUUGUUUAGAGCAGUUUCCUCCAAUUCUAUGCAUUCCAUUCAAGUUAAAUACCAAACACUACCUAGUAAUUUACUGACAAAAUAUUUUUUGUGCUGUCUGCCAAAAAUUCUAUUAAGUUAUUUAAAUUCAUGAAAGUGUCAAAAACCACCUAACAUGCAGACAAUCUAUUGCCCAGUUAUAAGAGUUAUUCACAUUCUUGAAUUCUGAGAGGUACACCAGAAAGAGUUUAUCAACCCUAAUCAAAUAACUCUUAAAUAUACCUGUUGCUGUUUUAUUUAAAAGCCCCCUGUGUAGAAUGGAUUGGUGUCUUAGUUUGGGCUCCCACAAAAAAGCAGACCCCAAGAUGAAAUCUUGAGUUGAAGAAGUUUACCUGACAGGUGAUUCCAGAAAGUACAACUGAGUCAGUGAGGAGAGUGAACCAGAGAGGGAGAAAAACAAUAUAAAAGUGAGUUAGUGAGUGGGUUACUACUGUAGGCCACAGAGCCCAGUUCCACCUUCUGAGUAUCCUGCAGAAUGCACGUCAGAACUGUCCCAAUAAAGAAUAGAGAAGCGGGGAAUUCAUCCAUGGACUCCUAUCUUUCAUUACUUUCCUUGGCCCUUCCAGUCUCCCUGUACAAGGCUGAAGACUGGAGAGAGGGCGAAUCCUCCUUACGCCAAGAAGCAGAAAGACUUGGGCAUUUAAGACUCUAGAAGGUACAGUGAACUCACAGGUGGCUGCUGGGAUAGGCAACAGAACAAAUCACCCAACUUCUCAGAGGCUUAUUUUUUCCUCUGUAAAACUGGAAAAUUUAUACUGGAUCUGCUACUCUGAUGAGAUAAAGUGGGAGGUGCUUGUUAUUUUUUGGUAAGUGUGGUGGGCAAAAUUCAAAGAUGGGCCCUGAGAUUCCCAACCCCUGGUAUAUGCCCUGUGUAAUCUUUUCCAUUUGAAUUUGGGUGAGACCUUAAGUGAAUAUGAUGGAAUAUCACUCCUGUGAUUUGGCAGGUAAUCAAUCAGCUGACUAAGAGUUAAGCAAGAGGGAGAAAAUCCCAGGUGGGCCUGACCUAAUGAAGGGAACACUUAGAAAGGAACUGGACUUUAUCUGACAAAAGACAUGAAACCAGGGAGAUACUCCUGUAUCUCUGAGGAAGGAAACAGCCUUCUUGUGAAUUACCUACCGAGGGGUGCACCUGUGAAUGAGGGACGGGUCUGAGUGUGGAGCUGAGAGUAGUCUCCAGCUGAGAGCUGGCAAGAAAGUGGGAACCUCAGACAUGAAGCUGAGCAUGAAUAAACUCUACUACCACUUUAUAGAGCUUGGAAACAGACUCUUCCCCAGUCAAGCCUCCAGAUGAGAAUAUAGCCCUGCUGAGGCUGUGCUGGAAUUCUGACUCAUGGGAAUUGUGAGAUAAUAAAUUUGUGUUGUAAGCUGCUAAGUUUGUGGUAAUUUAUUAUGCAGCAAUAUAAAACUAAUGCACUGGGUGCAGUGGUGUGUGCCUCUAGUCUCAGCUACUUAGGAAGCUGAAGCAGGUGUAUCAGUUGAGCCCAGGAGUUGGAGGCUAGCCAGGGAGACAUAGCAAGACCCCAUCUCAGAUAAAUAAAUAAAUAAAUAAAUACAACUUAAAAUAUGCACAAUGGCCUAAAAAUAAACAAAUAGAAAACUAAUAUAAUUAUCCAGUACUGCACUCCAAGAAGUGAGGGGUAAAGAAAGUAUAUAUUCUUUCUUCUCACCUUGCAGCACCUAGAGGACAGAUUUCUCCAAUAAGAUGUGCCCACCUAGAACUAUAAACAUCAU
rnacentral:lncRNA from 1 species